AUUGAACGCUGGCGGCAGGCCUAACACAUGCAAGUCGAGCGGAGCGGCGGACGGGUGAGUAAUGCCUAGUCAUCUGCAUGGUAGUGGGGGAUAACGUCCGGAAACGGGCGCUAAUACCGCAUCCUAUCAGAUGAGCCUAGGUCGGCUUCGCUAGUUGGGGGGGUAAAGGCCUACCAAGGCGCCGAUCCGUAACUGGUUUGAGAGGAUGAUCAGUCACACUGGAACGGAGACACGGUCCAGACUCCUACGGGAGGCAGCAGUGGGGAGUAUUGGACGAUGGGCGAAAGCCUGAUCCAGCCAUGCCGCGUGUGUGAAGAAGGUCUUCGGAUUGUAAAGCACUUUAAGUUGGGAGGCGUUACCAACAGAAUGAGCACCGGCUAACUUCGUGCCAGCAGCCGCGGUAAUAC
rnacentral:rRNA from 1 species